GUGUGUGUGUGUGUGUGUGUUUGUGUGUGUGUGUGUGUGUGUGUGUGUGUGUGGGGGGGGGGGGGGGGGGUUAGGUCCUCCAGCAGGCAUUAAAGUGAGUGUAGAGGCAGUGUUCUCAUCAGAGCCCUCAAAAGGACACUGAUCACGCAGAGAGCAGAGGCUGCUUGAUUAAACACGGAUCAAUGGCUGUUGCAUCUCUAAAGGCCUCCGAGGAGCCUGUCAUUAGGGGUGCUUUAAUGUUGCUCUCAAAGGCUGGCCAAUCACAAUUCAUCUGACAGCCAAGGCUAUACGGAUAAACACAAUCAGCACGACCCUCCUCUGCCGGAAGGAGCCACUGGGAAGAAAUUACAGAUUUAGGAGUGGGGGAGAGAGAGGGGGAGAGAGAGGGAGAGAGAGAGGGAGAGAGACAGAGAGUUGGGGAGAGAGAGAGGGAGAGAGAGGUGUGAUGUGUUAGGUAGCCGCUACGGAACAAGAACAAAUUUGAUGGGAGAGAGAGAGAGUUGCAGAAAUAGAGAGGGGUGUGAUGUAUCAAUGACCAGAGCAGCUAUUGACUGAGAGUGGGGAGGCAGUGGUCCUUCAGUGAGCCUGAGAGUAGGGAGGCAGUGUGUGUGUGUGUGUGUGUGUGUGUGUGCGUGCGUGCGUGCGUGCGUGCGUGCGUGUGUGUGGUUCUUCAGUUUGUGAAUGAGACUGACCUUUGACCUUUGGCCUUUGACUCUCAUUUCUGACACAAAAGAUGGCCGUGCUCCUGUGCUGUGACCUAAAUACUGAUGCUGCUCUCGCCUCACUUGGCCCUUCAGCAGAGGUGCACUCUCACACACACUCACACACACACACACACUCACACAUACACACUCACCUUCUCCUCUCUCACACACUCUCACACACACUCACCUUCUCCACUCUCACACACUCUCACACUCUCACACACACUCACCUUCUCCUCUCUGUAUUCACGACUGCAUAUUCCUCUGGAAAGCACUUUACAUCCUGAGCAAAUAGCAGGAAAGCUUCUAAUCGAUGAUCACACACACACAAGGACAACUUUUGUUUCACGGAUUAAAUUCCUUUUUUUAAUCUCACGACACAUUCACCUCUGGCAGAGAAUCCCAUGUUACAUUUCCUGCUGAUGAGUCUGACAUGUUCAGGGCAGGCUGCUUUAAAAAACAGAGGCAAAACACUUCACAAGAUAACAAAUACUGAUGCUAAAGUAAGCAGAUUCUGUUUGCAGACCAGAAAAGACCAGAGUUCUUGUGUGUGUGAGUGAAGGGCAGUGGUGUUGUCUGGACUUACAGCUCGGGCCCCUCUGCUGCGCACUAACUGUCCUGCUCUUUGGGGGAUGCUAUACCCAUGUCUGACCACUGGGUGGAGACAUUAUUCUCUGUUCCUCAAUCCGUGAGGCUUUUGAGUCGGGUAGAAACAGGCAAACCUGGAGUGUGUGUGUGUGUGUGGCAUCGCCUGCACAAAAACCACAGCAGCUACUUUAGAACAGAUUGGGCUGAAAAUGGAGACAGACUGUGAGUGAGUGAGCACUGAUGAAGGAGGUGGUGUUCACUGAUGAAGGAGGAGGUGUUCACUGAUGAAGGAGGUGGAGGUGGUGUUCACUGAUGAAGGAGGUGGUGUUCACUGAUGAUGAUGAAGGAGGUGGUGUUCACUGAUGAAGGAGGUGGUGUUCACUGAUGAUGAUGAAGGAGGUGGUGUUCACUGAUGAAGGAGGAGGAGGAGGUGGUGUUCACUGGUGAUGAUGGAGGAGGUGGUGUUCACUGGUGAAGGAGGUGGUGUUCACUGAUGAAGGAGGAGGUGUUCACUGAUGAUGGAGGAGGUGGUGUUCACUGAUGAUGAUGAAGGAGGUGGUGUUCUGUUCACUGAUGAAGGAGGUGGUGUUCACUGGUGGAGGAGGUGGUGUUCACUGAUGAUGAUGAAGGAGGUGGUGUUCACUGAUGAAGGAGGUGGUGUUCUUGCUUUCAUUCUUGCCAGCUAUUCUACUGGAUACGCAAAGGCCUCUUCAUCACACAGCAUGUGGUAUUACUGUAGCAUGUUGUGCCUGCUGGAAAGGUUUUCUCUCCUCUAAUGAUUUGAUGUAAUGAACACACACACACACACACACACACACACACA
ensembl:lncRNA